UCCUCCCCGCGCGCCCGAUAACCAUCUACCCUAACUGCCGAGUGGUUUCUCCUCUUCUCUACUUCUCCCUCGCCGAGCCCCUUUUUCCUUCUUCUCUUUCCUUCUUUUGUGCCCUAGCGAUCCGCGAGCUUCCACCUCUCUUCUCCUUCCCGAGCCGAACCCUCCUUCUUCCCUCAUCUCUCGCGACGCUGGCCUUCUCUACGCCGAGCUCUGCACAGCACCACCGCCGACGCUCUCCCUUCUUCCUCCCUGUCCAAGCGUCGGCGAUGCGCGAGCACAGCCGAGCAGAGCCCUACUCUUUGCUUUUGCGCUGUCCUCCUUCCUUCCUGUCUCUGCCCGACGACGCCACCCGAGCUCUCACGGUGAAAUUGCAAAGUCGACAUUGUGCCCUAGCUUGAAGCCGACGGCUACGGUUUGAUCUCUCCGGCGACCAUUUUUGGUUGCUGUCCUUGCUAUUUCCUAGCGUCGGCAGCCGACCACUGUGCCCUAGAUUCCUUCUUGCCGCAACCAUAGUGCUGAGUGCCUCCCCUUUGCUCACUUUGGUGCCCUAAUUGUGAUCUGGGAGGCUCGGUCGGUGAAUACAACUCCGGUCAUCUUUGUGCGUGGGCGAUUCACAGCUUUGGGCAUAAACCAGUGAGGUGAAUCGAGGUUGAUGCUGUCCAGAGAGUUCCAGUCGCUAGUCCCCAUGCAGUUCACGAGGAUGGUUAUUUGUCUUUUGGUGUUCUUUUCUAGACUAUGUU